ACGAGGACGAACGCUGGCGGCGUGCCUAACACAUGCAAGUCGAGCGGGGACAUGCAACGGAUAGGAAGUUUCGGAUGGAAUUGAAGAUGUAUGUUCUAGCGGCGGACGGGUGAGUAACGCGUGAGCAACCUGUCCUUCACAGGGGGAUAACACAGCGAAAGUUGUACUAAUACCGCAUAAGACCACAGCGGGACAUCCCGCAGGGGUCAAAGGAGCAAUCCGGUGAAGGGUGGGCUCGCGUCCGAUUAGAUAGUUGGUGAGGUAACGGCCCACCAAGUCGACGAUCGGUAGCCGACCUGAGAGGGUGAUCGGCCACAUUGGGACUGAGACACGGCCCAAACUCCUACGGGAGGCAGCAGUGGGGAAUAUUGGGCAAUGGGGGGAACCCUGACCCAGCAACGCCGCGUGAGGGAAGAAGGUUUUCGGAUCGUAAACCUCUGUCCUUGGUGAAGAGGAAGAGACGGUAGCCAAGGAGGAAGCCCCGGCUAACUACGUGCCAGCAGCAGC
rnacentral:rRNA from 1 species